rnacentral:rRNA from 1 species
UAGGGAAUCUUCCGCAAUGGACGCAAGUCUGACGGAGCAACGCCGCGUGAGUGAAGAAGGAUUUCGGUUCGUAAAACUCUGUUGUUAGAGAAGAACAGCGCAUAGAGUAACUGUUAUGCGUGUGACGGUAUCUAACCAGAAAGCCACGGCUAACUACGUGCCAGCAGCCGCGGUAAUACGUAGGUGGCAAGCGUUGUCCGGAUUUAUUGGGCGUAAAGCGAGCGCAGGCGGUCAAUUAAGUCUGAUGUGAAAGCCCCCGGCUCAACCGGGGAGGGUCAUUGGAAACGGGUUGACUUGAGUGCAGAAGAGGAGAGUGGAAUUCCAUGUGUAGCGGUGAAAUGCGUAGAUAUAUGGAGGAACACCAGUGGCGAAGGCGACUCUCUGGUCUGUAACUGACGCUGAGGCUCGAAAGCGUGGGGAGCGAACAGG